rnacentral:rRNA from 1 species
CAGUAGCCACGGGAAUACGAAGGGGGCUAGCGUUGCUCGGAAUGACUGGGCGUAAAGGGCGCGUAGGCGGCGGCCAAAGUCAGGCGUGAAAUUCCCGGGCUCAACCUGGGGGCUGCGUUUGAUACUUGGUUGCUUGAGUGGGGAAGAGGGUCGUGGAAUUCCCAGUGUAGAGGUGAAAUUCGUAGAUAUUGGGAAGAACACCGGUGGCGAAGGCGGCGACCUGGUCCUUUACUGACGCUGAGGCGCGAAAGCGUGGGGAGCAAACAGGAUUAGAUACCCGCGUAGUCCCUGUCUCUUAUAC